rnacentral:rRNA from 1 species
UACGGGGGGGGCAAGCGUUGUUCGGAAUUACUGGGCGUAAAGGGCUCGUAGGCGGCCAACUAAGUCGGACGUGAAAUCCCCAGGCUCAACCUGGGAACUGCGUCCGAUACUGGAUGGCUUGAAUCCGGGAGAGGGAUGCAGAAUUCCAGGUGUAGCGGUGAAAUGCGUAGAUAUCUGGAGGAAUACCGGUGGCGAAGGCGGCAACCUGGACCGGCAUUGACGCUGAGGAGCGAAAGCCAGGGGAGCAAACGGG